GAUGAACGCUGGCGGCGUGCUUAACACAUGCAAGUCGAACGGACUUUUAUUGAAGCCUAGCGAUAUAAAAGUUAGUGGCGGACGGGUGAGUAACGCGUGAAUAACCUGCCUUAUACUGGGGGACAACAGUUGGAAACGACUGCUAAUACCGCAUAACGUAUUUUGGGGGCAUCCCUGAAAUACCAAAGCUUUAUGUGCUGAAAGAUGGUCUCGCGUCUGAUUAGCUAGAUGGCGGGGUAACGGCCCACCAUGGCGACGAUCAGUAGCCGGUCUGAGAGGAUGAACGGCCACAUUGGGACUGAGAUACGGCCCAGACUCCUACGGGAGGCAGCAGUGGGGAAUAUUGGGCAAUGGGGGAAACCCUGACCCAGCAACGCCGCGUGAAGGAAG
rnacentral:rRNA from 1 species